rnacentral:rRNA from 1 species
UACGUAGGGUGCUAGCGUUGUCCGGAAUCAUUGGGCGUAAAGAGCGCGUAGGCGGUCCGGUAAGUCCGCUCUGAAAGUCCGGGGCUCAACCCCGGGAGGCGGGCGGAUACUGUCGGGCUAGAGUCCGGAAGAGGCGAGUGGAAUUCCUGGUGUAGCGGUGAAAUGCGCAGAUAUCAGGAGGAACACCAAUGGCGAAGGCAGCUCGCUGAGACGGUACUGACGCUGAGGCGCGAAAGCGUGGGGAGCAAACAGG